UUUUUUUUUUUUUUUUCCCCCUAUUUCUUUGUGUAGACAUUAGUGGCAUCUGGCAAUUAUCAAUUAUCUGAUAAUCCAAGAGCUUGAGGCUUCUAUUUGCCUUCCAAUAACAUGGAUGUGAUGAGGUUAACAGUUUAGUAUUUGUCAAAAAAGAAAGCAACCAAGCAAACUGCAGCAAAGGUCUCAAAUUGCAAAACCAUCUUUUGAAGAAUUAGCCAAUGGCUGCACUUGUAUUUGAUAGAGAAUGAAAUGUGCUUACUAUUAAUCCUUUACAUUGAUCAAGAACACAAACUGUUUCAUUCAAAGCCUCUGCAACACCCCUGGAAUCGUCAAGUAGCAGUCUCCUGCAUCAAAAGGGAAGUACCAAAUUCUGAUAAUCUUGUGUGAUAAGCACAAAGGACAAGAAUUACACUCAUUUAAACUUUUAGUCAUUGAUAUACAAGCACAUGACUUUUAGAUAAUGUCUUAACUGGUAUCAUUUUCUCCAUUUUCAUAUAUUACAAACUGGAAUUUUUGUGGAAGAAAUGCUUAAAAAAAAAAAA
rnacentral:misc_RNA from 1 species